UCAAGUCCUUAGGUAACAAUACCGCCAGAGCUGUGACGACAUUCCUGCUUCCCGCCCCGCCUCCAGGCGGAUCCGCGAAGUAUAUGACGUUCGGGGAUUGGCUGCUGGCUGGGUGAGGGGAAAGAACCAGUCUUCCGAUCGCCUUGCCGCACCGGCCGUCUCAGAUGCCGAUUGGCUCGCGGGAUUUGAAGGGCUAACACCCGUUUCGUGACAGGUGAACCUUGCCCCGCAACGGACGGCCAGGCUUCCAUCAAGGGAAACCCGAGGUCACAUGACUAGUCCUUAGGGAGGCCGCCAUUUUGACACUACUGGUUGCCAACUAGAGAGCUGUUGGAAGGCAGAGGCCGGAAACAUUGAGGCGGUUUCUGGAAUCUGGUUUGCUGACCAGGAAAGAACCAGUAGAUGGGAUAUUGCUGGAAAUGGAGGUUCUGAAUGGCGCUCUCCAGUAAGCCUACUUUUCCCAUCCAGGUUAUUGGUACCAACAUCCACCAACCAAUUCUCCCAAACCAAAAAGCUGGGAGGAAUCCUCACUCCAGAGCUACUAGCCCUGUCUAAUCUGUCUUCCUUGGACAGGCAUACUUUACAAACCCCUGUUCAUACCCCAGUUUUAGCCUUUUUCUUGGACUGUUUGCUACAGCUCCCUAAUAGGUCUCUCAGCUUCCAGUCAUCUUUCCAAGCCUCGCCGCUACUUAGAGCCGGCUCCCUUUUGCUGGCCCGGUAAAAAUAAAACUUUACCGUGGCCUUAAGAGAUCUCAGGACCAGCCUACUUCGCAAAUGUUAUUUCCACUCUUCUCGUUCCAGGGGGGUGUACCUGCACACAGGUCUGUACCUCUACACGCAGUGUACCCAUGUACACUGCAAGCCCCAGCAUCACCUCUACUGAAGAACCUUUCACUACCCUCUCCUUUCCCAUGACAAGCAGGCCUACUCCCAAUGUGCGCUCAUUUUGUCCUGCAUUGUGAGUUUGGGAAUGAGUGGCUGGAUCCUACUUAUAUUUGCAACCCCACUGUGGGGCAGUAUGCUUUGUACCUAAUAGAUGUCCAAUAAAUGUUUGCAUUUAUUGGGGAUCUGGGUGCCACCCUCAUUUUUCAACGCUUUCCCAGCCCCCAAACCUUCCUUCAGUCCGCAGAGGAAUUCCUCCUCGCAGGUUCCCAACACACGUUUGUACUCUGAGAUAACCAAUGAGACCUAGUCCUGGAAAGCAGGGUUGCCCUAUUGUAGCAGUGUUACUACGCAUUUUUUAAAAAGUAAGGAAUGACGGUGUUAAGUUUGCAAAAGGGUUAUUUGUGGCCAGACCAAGCUACGGUUUGACAGCCGGAUUCAAAUGAGGCCAUUCAAAUUAGUUAAAUCAGACAACCCCAAUAGGAUGUGUAUGGCUGGGGCAGGGAUUUGGACAAGAGGAGAUCAAACCAAAAAGUCAAAAGCUUUUCAAUAUACCCCAUUCUUCCCCUCACCCUCACUUCUCAAAAAUCCUUACCUCAGGAACAGGGGAAUUCUGAGCAGUCAUAGUUCUUAAAAUUUCACUGAAAAUUACUUCAGCAGCCAUCGCAGCUCCAGUGGUCUGGGAGAACUAACGUGAGCACCGAAGACAAACCCUAAAAGAUUGUGAAGUCGCUGGAAGAAAAAGCAUUUAUCACUUCAUAACAUGAAAUGUUAUGUUAAUGAAUAUCAGAAGUGAAGUGAGUACUGGGGAGAAAUGCUCAUUGUCAUUAGAGGCCGAACCACAAGUGAGGACUUGGUCACCAUCACACAAAGAUUUGGGGCACUGUGUAUUCUGUCCUCUGCUUUGGACCAUGAGCCCAUCCAGUGAUGACUGCAUGGCAGCCCUGGAGUGCGUGACACCCAUGGUGAGAGCAUCUGAUUCCACCCAAAUAGGGAGACUCAGACCCCAGCCUCCAGCCAGAACCCCUGUCUUCCCUCUGGAGACCAUCUUUGCAGAGGGGUGUGCAGAGCAGCAAUUGAGAAGCUUCUUACCCAGCC